GGACAGUGUUUCCCAACCUUGGGUCUCCAGCUGGUUUUGGACUACAACUCCCAUCAUCCCUAGCUAGCAAUACCAUUGGUCAGGGAUGAUGGGAAUUGUAGUCCGAAAACAGCUGGGGACCCAAGGUUGGGAAACACUGCCU